GUGUGCGUGAACAGGGCGUUGUAGCCAUAGAAACGAGGAGGAUGCGUUAUUUAAAGUCACCAACUGACCUUCAGUUACUCUGCGAGCAGCGAGAGACGGAGAGAGACGUGCUGUGAGCUUUGAGCUGAGAAACCAGAACUUUUACCAGACCCACACAAAAGUCUCACUAGAGACUUCUACAGGACCAGAACCAGGACCAGAACCAGAACCAGAACCAGGACCAAACAGAGACAGACUUCAGCCCAGAGAAGAAGUAAGGACCAGGAGGAGACCAUGGGUCCUCGCAUGCCAGACGGAUUUUUUUCUGGCAGGGAAGAACCUCUGGAUUGGGUCCUAGGCUGGGGAGAACCAGAAGAACCCGAAGAACCCGAAGAACCAGAAGACCCAGAAGAACCCGAAGAACCAGAAGAACCUGAAGAGGACCUUCCUGAGGGAACUGUGUAUUACAUUUAUGAGGUGACUCCUGGCUGGGGGACCCCUGAGGAUGGAGGUGAGUAUUCUCAGGAGUCACCACUUGAACUCAUUGUCUUCAGGGAGAGCUGUUACCAUAGUGAUUCUACAGCCAGGUACGUAGACAGUUUUGAGGAACCUUCAUCGUCCGACUCUGACUGUCAGUGUGAGCCUGAGAGGAAGAGGCUGAGACGGGACGACAGCUCUGACUCAUCUUAG
rnacentral:lncRNA from 1 species